UCUAAAUAUUUCUAUUAUUCAAACAAAUUUGUCUAUAUAAAAAAAUAGUAUAUUAAUAUUUUAAGUAUAAAAGAUAGAAAUUUUAUUAAGAUUUUCUGUAAAGAAAAAAGAUGGUAAUUAAAAAAGUUAAAAUAUGUUCUUUUUGGAUCAAGAUUUGAUAAAAAACUCUUAUUUGCAUAAUAAUUUUCGAAAAAACAUGAUUUUGUAUUAAGAAAUUUCAUUAUAUUUCAAUAUAAUGAGGAAAAUAACUAAUAUAAGAAGUGAUAUGCCAAUCAUAUGUUUAGAUAACUA
rnacentral:rRNA from 1 species